rnacentral:rRNA from 2 species
UAACGAUACGGGACUCAUCCGAGGCCCCGUAAUCGGAAUGAGUACACUUUAAAUCCUUUAACGAGGACCCAUUGGAGGGCAAGUCUGGUGCCAGCAGCCGCGGUAAUUCCAGCUCCAAUAGCGUAUAUUAAAGUUGUUGCGGUUAAAAAGCUCGUAGUUGAAUCUGUGUGCCACGCUGUCGGUUCAUCGCUCGCGAUGUUUAACUGACAUGAUUGUGGGACGUCCUACCGGUGGGCUUAGCUCCUCACGGGGCGGUCCAGCUAAUAUCCCAUCGCGGUGCUCUUAAACGAGUGUCGAGGUGGGCCGGUACGUUUACUUUGAACAAAUUAGAGUGCUCAAAGCAGGCUAUGUUCGCCUGAAUACAUGUGCAUGGAAUAAUGGAAUAGGACCUCGGUUCUAUUUUGUUGGUUUUCGGAACCCCGAGGUAAUGAUUAAUAGGGACAGAUGGGGGCAUUCGUAUUGCGACGUUAGAGGUGAAAUUCUUGGAUCGUCGCAAGACGGACAGAAGCGAAAGCAUUUGCCAAAAAUGUUUUCAUUAAUCAAGAACGAAAGUUAGAGGUUCGAAGGCGAUCAGAUACCGCCCUAGUUCUAACCAUAAACGAUGCCAGCUAGCGAUCCGCCGAAGUUCCUCCGAUGACUCGGCGGGCAGCUUCCGGGAAACCAAAGCUUUUGGGUUCCGGGGGAAGUAUGGUUGCAAAGCUGAAACUUAAAGGAAUUGACGGAAGGGCACCACCAGGAGUGGAGCCUGCGGCUUAAUUUGACUCAACAC